rnacentral:lncRNA from 1 species
ACUCAUGCAUACAUAGAUUCAUUCUCAUCAUUCUACCCCAUUUUGUUGUAAAUGAUCACAAGUUCUACCCUCUUUAUCAUCAUCUCAAAAUCAAUCUAAACCCCCUCACAUCACUCACCCAAUGUAAAACUCUCUUUUCUUUUCAUUUGACCCACUCGCUAGGGAUUUUAAUUCACUUUCCACAAGCUCUAACCCUUUUUUCAUUUCCUUCCCCAACUUCUUUUUGAUCUUUUUUUUUUUUUAAGGGGAAGGUUCUUUGUUACAUAAUCUAAGGCUUCUUAUUAUUAUUAUUAUUAUAUAUAUAUAUCCCUAGGAGCUUCAUUUUCAUAUAUCUCAUCUUUCUCACUCUCCAAACCCAAGAUAUUGAAAUUUAAAACACACAAACCCCUCUCACAUCCCCAAAUGCUAACUCAUUGUGCUAGCAAGAGAUGAGAAUAAACCUAUGUCGCCUCCAAUACUCUCAAGAUUUUGCACAUGACAAGCUAUCAAAAGAGGCCUCACUCAUGCAAUUAAAUGUUUGGUCUCAAGGAAUGGUUAGGGUUUUAGGGUAAGGAGUGCCAUUUGGGUUAACAAAGAUAGGUAUGAAGGAAUAAGAUAACCCAAAUGUGUAUGAGAUCCAUGAUCAAGUACGCAAAUGCCCAUAUGCAAGAGAAAUUAAGUUCAUUCAAGCCAAGUUUAGAUUGGAGCUGAUCUUAAGAACAAUGCUAACAUCAAGCAAGCAAACAAGUUUCAAGAAGAGUUUUCAAGGCUCGAAGCGUGCAAGGUUUUCAAGAGACGCUUAAGCUACUUGAUAUGUUUAACUAGGGUGUCAUUUUGAGUUCUAGACAAGGGUUCUUUGCAAGGCAUUUUAAAUCAUUGUUCCCAAUGCAAGUGAAUGCAACCUAUAUGCUCUAGACUCAAUCUUAAAAGUGCAAGUGAUGCAACUACAUGUUUCUUUUUGUGUUUUUCUUUUUUUUU